GGUGCUUGUACUGCCUUCCAAAGUGAAGAGGAGAUGAACAUGGCUUUGCAUAGCUGUUGUUCUAUGCCAACUUACCUACUCUUGGUGGUACCGUAGUGCUAUAUUGCAAAUUUCGUGGACGAACAACUCUAGUCACUAGUGGCUAGUGAGCAACACUAACAGACCAGAAUGCUUCGCUAUCAACUCCUGGCUUUCCAUCGGCAUGGUGUUCAGCUGCAGCGGCAUCUGGUCCGGGGAGUUCAAGUUGCUGGAUGGCUGCACUGACACAGGAUGGGUUUGCGUUGGCAAUGCGAUACGGCAGUCAUCCCACAUCACGAGCUACAUGUUUAUGUAAUUUAUAUUGUCGCUCGUCCAGCAACGUCAAGGCUCUGCAUGUAAACGCAGGAGAACACCAUAAUACUACUCAGGGGACAAUAAUUUUGGAUAUCAAUUUCGUGACAAUUAUUAGAUUCACACAAUAUUCACAACGUAUGCAACACGAUGCUGUCUAUUGACACUACUUCAAACUGAAGUGCUCACUACUCCUCUCCCGUUUUCAUCUCCCUCUACCUUAUGAAUACUCUGCAUUACUGGUUUCGUUUCUACCCUUUCCAUUGCUGCCAGCUCCCAGUCUUUUUCAAUGCACAGCACCACCUUGACAGUCAUUUUUGUGAUUUGAUGUACACAUACUUUGAAGUUCAAAUUCGAAUUACAUGAUCAGAUUUUUGUUCCACA